rnacentral:rRNA from 1 species
GUGGGAGUGGCCGGUCCGCCGUAAGGUGUGUACUUGGUUGUCUCCCGUCAUCCUUGUGGGAACUGCUCUGGCAUUAAGUUGUCGGGGUUAGGGAACACAUCGUUUACUGUGAAAAAAUUAGAGUGUUUAAAGCAGGCUUAUGCCGUUGAAUACAUUAGCAUGGAAUAAUAAGAUAGGACUUUGGCGUCUAUUUUGUUGGUUUGCACACCAAGGUAAUGAUUAAUAGGGAUAGUUGGGGGUAUUCGUAUUUAAUUGUCAGGGGUGAAAUUCUUGGAUUUAUGAAAGACGAACUUCUGCGAAAGCAUUUACCAAAGAUGUUUUCAUUAAUCAAGAACGAAAGUUAGGGGAUCGAAGAUGAUUAGAUACCAUCGUAGUCUUAACCAUAAACUAUGCCGACUAGGGAUU